AAUGCAUCCAAGGGAUCUAUGAAAGGAAAGGCAGAAAAUAUUCUCCCAACUUGCUCUUGAUUGUUGCAGCUUCUAUCGAGCGUUGAGCAGAUGCUAGCAACAGAAGGCAUCCGAUAGACCUCUUGGUUUCUAAGAACAGAUUUCGCAUCAGCUUCUUCUGUACGGAGUCUAGGUGCUUGCUGUCGGACAAUUCUCCAAGAAGCACACACCUCCAGGGACCCAACCACAGAUCUUCCAUUUUCCUGGAUCAUGAAGGCAAGACAUCUAGUAAGUACUAAGCAAAUAAGUUCUAAUAUCCCAGAGAUGCAUAUGAUGGAUUGAGAUCCCACUAUUAGCAUUCUCCUUCAACAGGCAUUAACUGAAGCUCAGGAAUAAAUAUUGUUUUCUAUCUCCACCAGAGCUUAGGUAAAAUAAUACAUGCAGACACUGAAACUGAAGAUGAAUGACAAGGUUUUGAAACUAUUUUCUCCAUCGUAUGUCAUUAUACAAGUGCCCAUGUAUGUAAUACAAAAAAAAAGAACAUACAAAUACAAUUCAAAGAACUUGGUAAAUUAUUUAAGGUUGAAUUGAGUUGUAUUGAAUCGAGACAAAUACCUCAGCAGUUUACCAAGUUGAAAAUCCAGCUUCUUUCUCCUCAUCCACCAUAAAGUUCUAUUCUCUUUGGUGUCCUCCAGAGGAAAGAUUGAUGAAGAUAAGUAAUUCUCCUCCAAUAUAAGUUUAAAUGCAGGAGAAACUUCAUCAAUGACAGUGAAACCCCAGGGACAGUGCCAAUGUUUAUCCAAGUCAUUGCUUUCUGGAAAUUCUUCAGAGCCAGGAUUUGGUGCAUCAUCAUCUGAGGUUUCUGACAAUUUUUUGCAAAUUAUUGAGUAUUCAGUAAGUUAUGCAUACAAUUACUAAGUGGCCAUGUGACAAACUGUAACUCUCUGUUUAUAUUUUAUGUUAAGUACCUUCUGAAAUCAAAUCCACUGGCAGAAGCAUCAUAAUAGGAUGGCUCUUAGAAUUCAAGCGUGACAACAGCAUCCAUGCACAAACACGUGAAGGAUACAUGAGUAAUUCUUGUAAUAAAGUUGCAUAAGGAUCUCCAAUCAAACUUAUGCAAACAACCAUUGUGGAAGGAAGGCUUGAGAAAAAAUCUGUCACAAAAUGUUCCAUAUCUUGAAGAGACUUGGGAGCAAGACUGCAGCACAGCAUAAAAGAAGAAAAUCAGAACGCAUUUUGAACCAUGGAAAGCCUCAGUAUAAUGUGACAGCUAAAACCUUGAGCAACUAUGUUUUUGACACAUUCACGUCUAAUCGAGAAACAUGGCCAGAAGGUUCAAGAAGCAAAGUCCAAAGGACAGCUCUUCAGACAAAUUAGCCAGAAAACUCAUGAGAAGAAGAAAAUCUAAAAUCUCGAGCAAGCAGAUGAUGUGUGCAUGUCCGAAAUUCCCUCAACAGUAAUCCUAAUUCUCUUCCCACCUGCAAUCUUAGAGUGUUAUUUGUCCUGUUAAUUCUUUUGGUGCAGACCGCAAAUCUUUAAGGAAUUAUUUUCCCCUAGCCAGUGUCUCUACGUGAUUUUUCCUUCCAUUAUCCCCUCUCCUAUACAUAAGUAAAAUAGCCCUUCAACAAUUCCUUAACUCUGCUCCCAUUUUCCUCCCUCUCCCAAACAUAAGCAUAAAUUGUAUUAACUUCUCCAAUCCUUGUGACAGUACAAUCUUCUUUAAGCAGCAAAAUAUUUAUUCAAUUUUUU